UAGGGAAUCUUCGGCAAUGGGGGGAACCCUGACCGAGCAACGCCGCGUGAGUGAAGAAGGUUUUCGGAUCGUAAAGCUCUGUUGUUAAGGAAGAACGAGUGUGAGAAUGGAAAGUUCAUGCUGUGACGGUACUUAACCAGAAAGGGACGGCUAACUACGUGCCAGCAGCCGCGGUAAUACGUAGGUCCCGAGCGUUGUCCGGAUUUAUUGGGCGUAAAGCGAGCGCAGGCGGUUAGAAAAGUCUGAAGUGAAAGGCAGUGGCUCAACCAUUGUAGGCUUUGGAAACUGUUUAACUUGAGUGCAGAAGGGGAGAGUGGAAUUCCAUGUGUAGCGGUGAAAUGCGUAGAUAUAUGGAGGAACACCGGUGGCGAAAGCGGCUCUCUGGUAUGUAACUGACGCUGAGGCUCGAAAGCGUGGGGAGCGAACAGG
rnacentral:rRNA from 1 species